UACAGAGGGUGCGAGCGUUGUCCGGAAUCACUGGGCGUAAAGGGCGCGUAGGCGGCUUGAUAAGGUUGCGGUGAAAGCCCGGGGCUCAACCCCGGGUCGGCCGUGGCAACUGUCGAGCUGGAGCACUGUAGAGGCAGGUGGAAUUCCGGGUGUAGCGGUGGAAUGCGUAGAGAUCCGGAAGAACACCGGUGGCGAAGGCGGCCUGCUGGGCAGUGGCUGACGCUGAGGCGCGAAAGCAUGGGUAGCAAACAGG
rnacentral:rRNA from 1 species